CGGACGGGUGAGUAAUACUUGGGAAUCUGCCUGAGGGCGGGGGACAACCACUGGAAACGGUGGCUAAUACCGCAUAAUGUCUACGGACCAAAGUGUGGGACCUACGGGCCACACGCCUUCAGAUGAGCCCAAGCGAGAUUAGGUAGUUGGUGGGGUAAAGGCCUACCAAGCCGACGAUCUCUAGCUGGUUUGAGAGGAUGAUCAGCCACACUGGGACUGAGACACGGCCCAGACUCCUACGGGAGGCAGCAGUGGGGAAUAUUGGACAAUGGGGGCAACCCUGAUCCAGCCAUGCCGCGUGUGUGAAGAAGGCCUUCGGGUUGUAAAGCACUUUCAGUGGUGAGGAAGGCGUUGUCGUUAAUAGCGGCGACGAUUGACGUUAGCCACAGAAGAAGCACCGGCUAACUCCGUGCCAGCAGCCGCGGUAAUACGGAGGGUGCGAGCGUUAAUCGGAAUUACUGGGCGUAAAGCGCACGUAGGCGGUUUGCUAAGCAAGAUGUGAAAGCCCAGAGCUCAACUCUGGAAUAGCAUUUUGAACUGGCAGGCUAGAGUUUUGGAGAGGGUGGUAGAAUUUCCAGUGUAGCGGUGAAAUGCGUAGAUAUUGGAAGGAAUACCAGUGGCGAAGGCGGCCACCUGGCCAAAAACUGACGCUGAGGAGCGAAAGCGUGGGGAGCGAACAGGAUUAGAUACCCUGGUAGUCCACGCUGUAAACGAUGUCGACUAGUUGUUCGCCCCGUUGGGGGUGAGUAACGCAGCUAACGCACUAAGUCGACCGCCUGGGGAGUACGGCCGCAAGGUUAAAACUCAAAUGAAUUGACGGGGGCCCGCACAAGCGGUGGAGCAUGUGGUUUAAUUCGAUGCAACGCGAAGAACCUUACC
rnacentral:rRNA from 1 species